GGGACCAAGGUUCAGCGUGAAUAACAUGCAGAGACCUCGUUACGCUUUAAGUCUUUUUCAUUCACGACACUGCGUUCAUAUUUCAUACAGGACAUAGGCUAAAACAUAUAAACGGAUGCAAGUGCGCAUUUGGAAACAAUGGAUUCAAAAGCGCAAAUAAGGAUGCAACGUUACAAUUCUCCAAAGGGAGUGCGAAGUCUUUCACAUCAUGCCACUUUGUUUGAAUCCUGCUUAUGUUUUUAAUCAGUUCUGAUCUUAAUGAAAAAAAAAAAAAAAAAAAAAAAAAUGGAAAACACUAGCCUAUUUACAAUAGUCGAGAAACUUGCUUGAGGAACCCUGUCCAAGUCGCUAUAUUGAGAGCAACAUGUCGCUGUGGUUCAGAAGUCAAACGGAGGUCAGCAUUUAUAUCCCCCCGCAGCAAUCUGCGAGCAGGGGCCAGUCAUCAGUGAACCCUGCCUUCCCCACCACUGACAACCGCCUGAAAGUUACAAGACUGUCGGGACCGGGUAAAACGCACGGGAAGAAAACAGUAGGCUGUUGACUUUUUCUUCAUUUUGUCACUGGAUGUAAUGCUCUUACAACAUGCUUAAAGUGCUUGUCAAAUGUAAAGUAUAUGUUUGAAUAUUCAAAUAUUCGUUUAUCUGUUUACUCAGUGGAUUUUCUUACACAAGCUAACAAUGGACACGCUUUAGGCAAUUGGAUAGUUUAAAAUGUCAGAUAAAUAUCAGAUAAUCAUUAUUUAGUACUAAUCGGGGGGGAAGUAAAAUCCAUUCACUUAACAAAGUGGAAUGCAUAGGAUACACAAAUAAUAUACAACCGCAAGACAUAAAACUAUAGGCGCUUGUGAUAGUUCAAGUUUUCCAGAAUACGUAAACAAAUCAAAUAUGAGCGUUGCGUUCAUCAACUUAUUACUAUAACUAGUCGGAAUAUUUUAUUAUUAUUAUUAUUUUAUUAUUUGUAAAUGUUACAGGGGUGGACAAAUACAUUACUGUAGCCUGUUUAUUUACAAACAUUGGUUGGAUGCUUUGCAAUGAAGCGCUUUAUAGGCUACUUUUUAUUUAUUUAUUUGUAGACCUGAUAAAAAAAAUAAAAUAAAAAAAAAGUGUUUUUUUUUUUUUUUUUUUUUAUUCCAUUUUGAAAUUUUGUUUAGUUGUAUUUUACAUUAUUUUAUUUUGCUUUAUUAGGCCUAUAUAUUAUUUGCAACAAACUUUCUUAAUCGAGAGACUGCAGGACUUUUGCAUUUGCAGUAAUGUGAACAGACAAGGUCCAAAAGAAAAGCAUUUUUCAUAUGCAAAGUCUUUCAGUGACCUGUAUACUUGAUCAUGUGCGCCUUCUACUGGAUACAUAAAGAAUUGUCUUUCUUUGUUCCCUAAUGAGAUCCGCAGCGACUUUUCUGAAAUAUAAAAAAAGCCCAAAAUACAGGCAACACUAUAACGAAACUUAAACAUAUUUGAUCAAAUGUUCAUCACGAGUAAUUAAAUAUGACAGUUUUGUAGACUGUAUAUGUAUUAAUCCAUAUUUAAAACUACUUAAUCCAGCAUGUGUUUCAUGUAAUCAUUGAGUUGUAUCUAAUAACGUAAUAAAAUUGGCUGUUGACUUCUCUAAGUUUUCAUCUGUAAGUAUUUUCUGUUCUUCCGUAACUGGAAAAAACAAAACAAAAAACAAAACACUAUAAAUAAGUAAAACAUAAAGCACGAAUAAUUUCAAAAUUAGGAAUAAAUUAAUCGAACAUAGCGUUAGAAUUUUUGAACGCCAGCAUCAAAAUACAUAAAAAAAAAAAAAAAAAUAUAUAUAUAUAUA